GAUGAACGCUGGCGGCGUGCUUAACACAUGCAAGUCGAACGGAGUUGUUUGAAAGCUUGCUUUUGAAUAACUUAGUGGCGGACGGGUGAGUAACGCGUGGGUGACCUGCCUUAUACUGGGGGAUAACACUUAGAAAUAGGUGCUAAUACCGCAUAAGCGCACAGUUCUGCAUGGAACAGUGUGAAAAACUCCGGUGGUAUAAGAUGGACCCGCGUCUGAUUAGCUGGUUGGUGAGGUAACGGCUCACCAAGGCGACGAUCAGUAGCCGGCCUGAGAGGGUGAACGGCCACAUUGGGACUGAGACACGGCCCAAACUCCUACGGGAGGCAGCAGUGGGGAAUAUUGCACAAUGGGGGAAACCCUGAUGCAGUGACGCCGCGUGAGUGAAGAAGUAUUUCGGUAUGUAAAGCUCUAUCAGCAGGGAAGAAAAUGACGGUACCUGACUAAGAAGCCCCGGCUAACUACGUG
rnacentral:rRNA from 1 species